UCGAGCGGAGAUGAGGUGCUUGCACCUUAUCUUAGCGGCGGACGGGUGAGUAAUGCUUAGGAAUCUGCCUAUUAGUGGGGGACAACAUUCCGAAAGGGAUGCUAAUACCGCAUACGUCCUACGGGAGAAAGCAGGGGAUCUUCGGACCUUGCGCUAAUAGAUGAGCCUAAGUCGGAUUAGCUAGUUGGUGGGGUAAAGGCCUACCAAGGCGACGAUCUGUAGCGGGUCUGAGAGGAUGAUCCGCCACACUGGGACUGAGACACGGCCCAGACUCCUACGGGAGGCAGCAGUGGGGAAUAUUGGACAAUGGGGGGAACCCUGAUCCAGCCAUGCCGCGUGUGUGAAGAAGGCCUUAUGGUUGUAAAGCACUUUAAGCGAGGAGGAGGCUACUGAGACUAAUACUCUUGGAUAGUGGACGUUACUCGCAGAAUAAGCACCGGCUAACUCUGUGCCAGCAGCCGCGGUAAUACAGAGGGUGCGAGCGUUAAUCGGAUUUACUGGGCGUAAA
rnacentral:rRNA from 1 species